rnacentral:rRNA from 1 species
UACAGAGGUCUCAAGCGUUGUUCGGAUUCAUUGGGCGUAAAGGGCGCGUAGGCGGCCCGAUAAGUAGGGGGUGAAAUCCUGCGGCUUAACCGCAGGGCUGCCUUCUAAACUGUCGGGCUAGAGCACGGUAGAGGCAGAUGGAAUUCCCGGUGUAGCGGUGGAAUGCGUAGAGAUCGGGAAGAACAUCAGUGGCGAAGGCGGUCUGCUGGGCCGUUGCUGACGCUGAUGCGCGACAGCGUGGGGAGCAAACAGG